CUUAUCCGCAUCCUCUGGAACCUGGUACAAAAUUUUGUUGACCUCCUCCUUUGUUUUGUUGUAAUAGGCUUUCUUCUUCAUCUCCGGUGAGGUCAGAUCUUCUCUUCGGGUUACCUCUGGUCUGCCCUCUUUUUGUUUUUUUUUGUUUUUUUUUUUUUGGCUAAAGUUCGUAUUUCUUUUGUCCCUUGUCCACUGACGUGCAGUUUUCUCUUUUUUUUUCUCAUCCACGGGCUUGUUACCGCCCAAGGACGUGCCAUCUUCACUGUUGGUUGCAGAUCUUGUGCUUUCUUCUUUCUCUCCAGUGAGGUCGGGUCUUCUCUUCAGGUUGCUCUGU
rnacentral:lncRNA from 1 species